GAUGAACGCUGGCGGCGUGCCUAAUACAUGCAAGUCGAGCGAACAGACGAGGCGCUUGCUCCUCUGACGUUAGCGGCGGACGUGUGAGUAACACGUGGAUAACCUACCUAUAAGACUGGGAUAACUUCGGGAAACCGGCGCUAAUACCGUAUAAUCUCUUGAACCGCAUGGUUCAAUAGUGAAAGACGGUUUUGCUGUCACUUCUAGAUGGAUCCGCGCCGCAUUAGCUAGUUGGUAAGGUAACGGCUUACCAAGGCAACGAUGCGUAGCCGACCUGAGAGGGUGAUAGGCCACACUGGAACGGAGACACGGUCCAGACUCCUACGGGAGGCAGCAGUAGGGAAUCUGACGCAAUGGGCGAAAGCCUGACGGAGCAACGCCGCGUGAGUGAUGAAGGUCUUCGGAUCGUAAAACUCUGUUAUUAGGGAAGAACAAAUGUGUAAGUAACUAUGCACGUCUUGACGGUACCUAAUCAGAAAGCCACGGCUAACUACGUG
rnacentral:rRNA from 1 species